UUACUUUGGAUUUCCUUUGUCGUUUUACUGGGAGAUUUUCUGCCUUUACAUUCUUUCAUAAUGAUGACUAUCCUUCUGUGUUUCUGUGUGUAGCACGUCCUUAAGCAUCAUUUGUAAGGCAGGACAAGUGCUGACAAAUUCUUUCAAUUUCUGUUUGUUAUGAAAGCUCUGUAUUUCACCUUCAUUCAUAAUACUUAACAUGUGGAAUUUUCCUAGAGAUAAAAUCACCUAGUAUGUAUUUUAACUGCUGUUUUAAGUGUUAGCAGUGUAUAAUGAACACCUUUCCAUGUUAAAAGCUAAGUUUCUCCCAUGAAUGCAUGACAUUGUCUUGUAAAUAUAGAGCUGCUGCAUUUUUUUUGUUAGCUUGUUUCCAGGCCAGGUAUCUGUUUUUGGAGCCCCACUACCACCACCACCAUGGAAGACUACAUCUUUAUGUUAAUAUUUGUUGUCUCAAAAAAUCAUAGGCACUUAACUGUUACCUCUGAUAUAUUUUUAUGUGUUAAAUUUAUAUACCUUCCCACUUCUCAGGUUAAUCAUUUCCCUCUUUCAGAUGAUUUCUUCUAGCUAGUUGUCAUAUCUAAGCCUUGGUCAAGAUUGCAAAAUGUGGCUGGCGCCAUGGCUCACUAGGCUAAUCCUCCGCCUUGCGGCGCCCGCACACUGGGUUCUAGUCCCAGUUGGGGCGCCGGAUUCUGUCCCGGUUGUCCCUCUUCCAGGCCAGCUCUCUGCUGUGGCCAGGGAGUGUAGUGGAGGAUGGCCCAAGUGCUUGGGCCCUGCACCCCAUGGGAGACCAGGAUAAGUACUUGGCUCCUGCCAUCGGAUCUGCGCGGUGCGCCGGCCGUAGCGGCCAUUGGAGGGUGAACCAAUGGCAAAAGGAAGACCUUUAUCUCUGUCUCUCUCUCUCACUGUCCACUCUGCCUGUCAAAAAAUAAAAAAGAUUGCAAAAUGUAUUAAUAGUACCUUUUUAUUGCUGAUGUUUGUAUCUAAUCGGAACUUAAAUUACAUUUACUUCUGCUUAAAUUAUGGAGAAAAUAAAUUAGUUUUAAUUUAAGGAAACCAGAUAAGAAACAUUUUUUGACUAGUAAAACCUAUUUUUCUCAGAGAAUUUUGUUGUUACUUUAUAUAAAUAAAACACCAGUUCAAUGUAUCAAAAUUUACUUGAGAAAAAGGUUCUAGAACAUGGAUGCAUUCCAGACUGAAGAUGGUUCGGAAUACCCCAUUGCACCAAAUGUACAGGAAAUGUUUAUAGCCAGAGAAUAGCAAGUGACAUACAAGAGUAACCUGAUUAGCUACAGUUGGCAUUUCCAAUAUAUAUAGGGAUGCUGUGAUCAGUUGGCAGCCCAUGAUUGGCUCAAACCCAACGGCUUUGAUUGGCUAAGACUCAGAGACUUGAUUAUAAGGGCUUACUUUUAGUUACAGUUUGCUUACACAUCCAACUAGGGUGCAGUUCCCUGUAACCAGAGGCUUCCUUGGGCCAAAAUUAUCAGUGAACUACAGAAGCAGGUCUAGGAAAAAUUAUUUACAGUUAAACAUAUGAUUUGGAAAAAUGUUCAGUUUUAUCUUUUUGUCCAGUAACUUCAAAAUGGAUAAUGAUGUAUCCCAGAAAUGUCAUGUCUAUCGUAAUAAAACCAUCAGGACUAGCAUAUAUUUAUAGGCUGUAAAAUUUUCCUUUGAUGUCCAUAUUCUUCAUGUUUACACAUACAUUGCUUUUAUAAUUUUUAUAUACAUUUUGAAAAGCUUUUUACCCAUAUAGCUCAUUUUUGUUCCUAUUACACACAGUUUGUUGAGUGUUUUUGCUUUAAUCACUGGGCCAGAAGUGGUGGGAAUUAGAAAAAUAGUCCAUUACGGUGGGAGCUUAAAAUCUAGGUUUGUGAAAAGUUAAAUAACAGUACUGGAGCCAAUACUCAUGUAAGACUGAGGCGACAGGACAAUCUACAAAUUGCUUUAGGAAUUGUACAAAAAUGCUUUUUAUGGAUGUUAGCAGAACACUGUGAGUCAGCAUGAUUGAGAACAGCAGAACCGAAACUAGUGUCUGCUAAUACUAACUGAUAGAAUUAAAAAGGAGAGAACGAUCCAACAUAGGAAGCGGGAUACACAUCAGACUCAUAGAAUGGCAGAUGUACUAAACAGCACUCUGGCUUCAGAAUCAGCCCUUAAGGCAUUCGGAUCCGGCUAAAAAGCCCAUGAGAGUAUUUCAGGCAUGGAAAGCCAAGACACUGUGGCAAAAAACAAAAACAAAAACAAACCCUAAAUGAAAGAUCUCUGCGAGUGAGAUCCCAGUGGAAAGAAGGGGCCAUCAAAGAAGGGGGUACCUUUUUCUGAAGGGAGGAGAGAACUUCCACUUUGACCAUGACCUUGUCUAGAUAAGAUCAGAGUCGGUGAACUCAAGAGGCUUCCAUAGCCUUGGCAACUCAUCACAAGAGCCUAGAGUGAUUAAUGACACCAUAAGUAAGAGUGCCAAUUGUUAAAUCAACAACAGGAGUCACUUUGCACUUACUCCCCAUGUAGGAUCUCUGUUCUUAAUGUGUUGUACUAUGCAAAUCAAUGAUAUAACUAGUAAUCAAACAGUACUUUAUACUUUGUGUUUCUGUGUGGGGGCAAACUGUUGAAAUCUUUACUUAAUAUAUACUAAAUUGAUCUUCUGUAUAUAAAGAUAAUUGAAAAUGAAAAAAAAAAAGAAAGAACUGGGGACAGGAAAGAAGAGGAAGCAUUUCAGAGAGUAUGGGUUUGAAACCCAACACAGAGGUAGGAAACGCCAACAGAGCAAUUUCUUCAGGCAGGUGCUAUGACUCAGUGAAUCAAGUCAAGCAAUUUGAAUAGAAGAAAGAGGAUGGGAAGGAAGUGUGUCCAAGGCUCGUCUACAUUCAUGUGGAACACUCCUUAUGCUGGGGAAGGGCUGCUCACCUGGACCCCUGCGUGAGGAGGCCACCGUCAUUUCUACUGCCUUGGCUGUGCCCAGCCCCUACUCAGCCCCUCAGCUGAAUGGAUUUCCAUGAGUUAGCUCUGAAAUACCACCUCAAGGAUCCUUUAGCCAAUAUACAGGAUGUGAAAAAGAAAACAUCCGUAUGGUUGCAGGCCACUACAUUUUGGAGUGGUUACUCACUCUACGAGUAACUAGUUAAGACUAAGCCCAAUUUGGAUUUCAACAUUUCUAGGCAAGUGUGGGAAACUGCUGGCAUAUGCCUGACAGGAGGCCCUUGGAAAACCACUUCUGGAUUGCACGGAAGUGAGACGAGGUAGUAUUGGUCACGGAGGAACAAAGCAGAAGGGAAAUCCAGGAAGAACAAUGGAAACAGGCUGUCUGCCUCAGAGCUGACUCACGACAGGCUCCUGGGGACAGAGAGGCAACUUGGAGACACAGAGGGCACUUGGGAGCACAGCUUGUCCUGGGGUGUCGGGGAAGGGCAGACAUUGCCUGCUUUGUGAGAAACGGAGCACAGCCACUCUGCCUGAGCCCGUGGCUGCUGACCAUGCUGUGAAGGGCCAGGGGGUGACUGGGUGCCGAGGAUGCCUUUGCUUUGGGCAGGUGGCUUUGAUGGGUGGUGUAGGGGCUUCAGCUGUCCUCCCCUGAGUGGAGGAGGAUGGGGAACUUAAACUGCAUUAGCUCUGCGUGCUGCCUCCCUCUCCUGGGACAGGUUAGGUCUGAGGUUGUAGGUGGGUAAUGGAAUGUACAAUGCAAAUAUUACUGCUAGAUAAUCUAAAUGAACCAGAGGGGUGAGUCUUAGAACAGUUCAGGUCAAAUCAUUACACUUGUGUUUAUAUACAGACAUAGAUUCAUUCAGAUAGAUACAUGUUUAAUGACAUCUGUGUCUAUAUAUAAUAUAAUUAAGUUUUUGUAGUAUCAAGUUUCCUCCUCAUACAUUGUACCCUUGAAAUGGUCUCUUGACCUCUGUAUAGAGUAUAAAGGACAAUAUUAUUUUCUCUGAGUUGAGCAGUAAAGUCAUCUUAAGAGUUUAAGGGAUCUUCCUAAUACUCCAGAAUCAAAGUGACAGAACCAGGAUUUGAACUGAACUUUCCUAAUUCCAGAAAUCAGUACAGAAUCAGUGCUCAUAGGCUACAUUGGAUGUAUUUAUAGGAUAUUAAAGAGCUGGCUUUGGAAUUUCUUAUCUGUAUGCAUAUCAAUAUGGUCAACCAUCUUUAUCCUAGGAGUCAACAUUCCAUGGAUCCAAACCUUCCAUAGGUUUGAAAAAAUAAACUACAUCUGUACUGAACAUGUAAGACUUUUUUCCUGGUCAUUUUUCCCUGAACAAAAUGGAGUAACAAUUAUUUCAAAAGCAUUUGCAUUGUGUUAGAUAUUACAAGUAUUAUCUAGAUGAUUUGGAGUAUACUGGGAGAAUGUGGAAAGCUUAUACACAGACUACUAUGCAAUUUAAACAUUUAUUUAUGUUUAUUUGAAAGGCAGAGAGAGAAAUCUUCCAUCUGCUAAUCCACUUCCCAAAAAAACAAAACAACCAGAGAUGGGGCAAGGCCAAAGCCAGGAGCCCAGAACUCAUUUGGGGUUUUCCAUGUGGGUGGUAGAGUCCCGAGGCGUUGAGCCAUCACCUGCUGCAUCCCAGGGCACACAUUAGCAGGAAGCUGGAAUUGAAAGCGGAAUUGAGAUUUGAACCCAGGCACUCUUGAUGUGGGAUGAGGGGUCCCAAGUGACAUCUUACCUGAUGUACCAAGUGCCUGCCCAACAGUGCCACCUUACAUUAGGAAUUGAACUUCUGUGGAUUGCAGUAUCUGUGAGUCCUGAAAAUACUCCCCCACGGAUGUCAAAGAACAUCUGUGUAGAUGUUCCUUCACUUAAGUGGGAUUGUUGGGAUGAACUCCCCCAAGGGGGAAAGACUGUAAGUCAGAGUGGGCUCAGUACACCUCACCUAGAACACGAUAGCUUCGCGACAGAGUACACUGUUGAGUAGCAUUUAUUUCCCCUUGUAAUCGCUUGCUUGACUGUGAGGUGUGGUUCCCUGGUACUUCUCGAUAUAAAGAGAGAGUAACGUGUAUUAUGAGCUAGGAAAAAGUUCAAGAUCCCCUAUUACAUUUCUGCAGAAUAUGUGUUCCUAAUGUACCAUCAUAAAGACAAAAAAUCAUGAGCAGAAGCAUUGUGAGUCAGGAACUAUCGACACACAAUUAAUGCAUUCCUGUACGUAUUUGAGCUCUGAAACAAUUUUUCCAUGUUAUCACAGGCUCAAAGGGAAAUGUAAAAGCAAAAUAUUGUUGAUAUAAAUGACUACCUUAUGUAAAUGAUGCCUGCUUCCCAUAGAACCUCCAGUCAUACAGAUAAUCUACACCUCCACGAAAGCAAAGAGAGGGCAGAGUGUGAAGAACAUCAUCAAAACUGCCCAGUUGCCAAACUCGCUUGUUAAUAGUCUCACAUGGUUUCACGGUGUGAAGUGUCUCGUUUUCAGUGUGCUGUGACUGACCCUUGGAGCAGGAGCUCUCUGGAAACAUUCUUGAUGUCUUGCUCGUCCUUGAACUCUCAGCACCUACAACAGGGCUUACAGAAAAAGCGAAUGCAUUGAAUCAGGUCAGCUAUCUUUGCGAGACUUUUAAAAUUUGAUUUCUGGAAGUUGAAAGCAAGACUCAUUGCUGGAAAGAAAUUCCCAGCCGUGGAUUUUAGCCAUAUUUGCUGAUCUUGUCUGACAGCUCUCUCUGCCUUCUUCACAAGGUGCCUUCAGCCGAGGACCGAUUCACUCCUCCGUAAUUGUUUAUACCUAACACUGUGUCUAUUGGAGGAAGCUUCAGUCAAAAUAAUGAUGAUGACGACGACGAUGACAGCAAAAUAAAGACAACCCAAAAACCUGUCCUGUGGGUAAUAUCAAAUCUAUGCAGAAAGCGUUCAGCUUUGAUGGUAUAAUUCAUCUCUUCCCUGAGAAGUUCAACUGGUUACGACAGUGGGGAAGAAACUCAGAGGAGUGAUAAAGCUGCAUUAUAGCAGGAAAACAAUGCCAUUUUAUCCUGUUCUCUGUGAACUUCAAAUAUGUUGCUCGAUACAAGGUACAGACCUUGGUUCCUACUCUGUCUCUCUCGCUCCCUCUCCCUCUGUCUGCUUCACUGUUGUUUUAUGUUUGUGUGUCUAUUCUGAAUAUCUGAAGAACUUGAAAAUUUGAGAGGAUUCUAGCAAGAUUCUCAAGAGAAAAUGAACAGCAAAGGUGACUGGGAAAUUAUUUUUUAGAAUUAUUAUUUAGAAAUUAUUUUUUUUCAGGAGCUGGUGUUGUGGCGUAGUAGGUUGAGCAUCCGCCAACAGCACCGGUAUCCCAUAUAGGAGCGAGUUAGAGUCCUGGCUUCUCCACUUCCGACCCAGCUCCCUGCUGCUGGCUUGGGAAAGGAGUAGGGGAUGGCCCAAGGGCUUGGGGUCCUGCAUGCAGGUGGGAGACCCAGAAGAAGCUCCUGGCUUUGGAUCGGCAGAGCUCCAGCCAUUGCGGCCUUUUGGGGAGUGAACCAGCGGGUGGAAGAUCUCUGUUCCUUUGUAACUCUGCCUCUCAAGUAAGUAAAAAAAAAAAUCUUUAAAAAAUUUUGGUUACAAAGUAAUUCUUAUUUCCUUAAUUUGUGAAUGAGUGUACCUCCAUCUUGGCUGCGCAUCAGAUUCACAUGGGAGUCUGUUGAACAAACCUGGUGCCUGGGCCCUCCCUCACUGUUCUGAUACAGGGUCUCCAGUGUGCAUCCAUGGUUGGCGCCCCCUCACACUGGGGGUACUUCAAAAUGCUCACAGGAAGUGGAGUUAAAGGGAACUAUUUUGCUGUAAAAAUCUUUGGAAGGGCUGGCACCGUGGCAUAGGAGGUUAGGCCUCAGCCUGCAGUGCUGACAUCCAAUGUAGGCACUGGUUUGAGUCCUGGCUGCUCCACUUUGGAUCCAGUCCCCUGUUGCUGUGCCUAGAAAAGCAGCAACAGACGGCCCAAGUGUCUGGGCCCUUGCAGCUAUGUGAAAGACCGAGAAAGAUCUCCUGGCUGUGGCCUGGUCCAGCCCACCCCACCCACCGACUACGGCCAUUUGGGGAGUGAAGCAGCAGAACGAAGAUUCUCUCUGUAAUUCUGACUUUCAAAUAAAUCUUAAUCUGUGUGUAUUAGGAGUCUUCCCAGAGUUCCUAGAAAAUGCAUAUGAUGAAAAAAAUGUAUUUCAUGAUAUUUUGCACUGGUAUAAAUUUUCUUACUCUGUUUUUCCAUCAAUACUGUGAAAUACCCUUUUGUGUUGGUAGUUGAGGGAAAAGUGCAUCUCAGAAAGUUACCUGCACACACAGAUCCCUCCCACUAGGACUCGCUCGGGUGCCUGUCACAGACCUGGGACUGUGCACUUCCACAAGUCAUAGCACAUCUUGCAUUAUUGCACUUUUUUUUUACUAGACUAGAAGCACUAUGAAGGCAAGGACAAAGCUGUAAUUUUCAGUUAUCUUCAACGAACCCAGUGCCAACCUCUCAAUACUUACUGUUGCACAAUUCUGCAACGGCUUUUUUCCUUCAAGGGAGUCAGGGAGGGUAAAGAUGGGGAGAAGCAAGAGGAAUGGGUGUGGCAGCAGCAGUAGGAGAAGGGGUGAGGGCAGCGAACCCUGCAGUGCCUGCCUUAGAAAAAGAAAGACAGGGGUAUGCAUAAGUUACUCAUGUACUGCACCGGGAAUUAUGUUUUAUAUUCAGCAGCAUGAACCCCACCGAGUCUCUCAAGAUUUCUUGAGUUGGUGUCUGUGUGUGUAGAGAGUCAAGACAGAAUGAAGUGAGUGAAUUUUUUGUUACCUACCUGGGUGCCUCUCGAUACGCUGAUUUAGAGCCUUCAUUAAAUCUGCUCCACUUGGCACAGGAGUCACCUGUGCCAAGUCAGCUAUUGCACCUGUGUGCAAGUCAGCUAUUGACUCCACCUCCUCCAGGGAUCGCAUUUUCAAUGUCUCAGUUUACCCAUUUAUAACACAGUAAUCUCUGCAGCAAAGCUGUGCACUCGCGUUCACUGUUGGCAUGAUACCCGCAGAACUUUUGACAGGUUCAUUUGAAAAAUGAAUAACAUUUUCCUGAUUUGAUUGCAAUUUAGCAUAUACACACUUCAUACUUCAAUUAUAUUAAUCAAAAUGAAGAUUUUCACAUGACAGCUUUAAGCCAACAGUCUCAGUAUUUGAACCUAUUUGAACCUCUUCAUUAGAACAUGGAGUUGGAUGACUUGAUAGUUGUUAAAAUAAGACUAGAAAAUUCUGGUUUAGAGAUUUGGGGGAGGAUUUCAUUGCAGCUUUCUCUGCAAAUGUAAGUCUAUUUCUAGGUUGUCCAUGGAUAAGAAUGAUUCUCCUGCUCCCUUUUGUCACCCGUGCCCUGUGGCACGCGGCUUUGUGUUACUUCUAUGUGCCUGCAUUUUGUUGAUGAACGCAGGCCAGUUCCUGACUUGAAUCAAAAGAGCAAGUUCUUCCAGACUGGUCUUUUCCCCUUAGUUGCUCCUGCACCUGCCCCUGUAAAAUCUGGGCACUUCCCCCCUGUGCGGGCUCCUCCUUAGGUGACACAGUUCUUAGCUACAGUGCGUGUUCUAUCUCCAAGAAACGGCCACAGCCUCUGUGUGCUGCAUCUGGCCUUCUCCCUCCGGAAUCAUCUUCCAGAUACCCCAGAAGUGAUCUCUGAUGCAAACUAUAAGAAUGCACUACAGACCACAGUUUCCAGGAAGCUCCAGACAUCCAUUAGGUAAACAGUGGUUUCUGAGCUGAAGGCACUGUACAAUCCCACCCUUUUGUGCUUAUACUCCGGACAGUCAGUAGGUCCAUCCUCUAAUCAUCUGUCAGCCAAGGUACCCUUCCACUCAGACCGAAGUGCCUGGGGUUCACACACAGCCGCCAAGUCAGUGUCGCUACGCUCAUUCCCACUGUCUGGGCGACCCUUUCCCUCCUUCCUUGACUUCCGCAUUCUGGACAGCUUUCUCUGUUUACCACUCCCAGAGCCGCAGCAGGUGAUGCCAGGCAGGCAGCUCUGGACACGCAGGUGCAUGCCAUUGGCGGUGCUGACCCCAUCGUAGUGAAGGCAACUGGGGAUCUGUCUGUCUCCGCCAUGAGAGUGCCCAUUACUUUAGGACCUGGACCCUGGUUCUGCCCCUCUCUAUGUCCCC